AAAAAAUUAAGGUGCCCUCCUUUGCCCAUCACAGGCCAUUUACAUUCCCCAUCUCCAGUCCUCACUACGACUUCAUUAGGUACAACAUAAUACAACCUUCAGUUUAAAGAGGAAAACUCAGACUCAAAGUACAGCAAGCUGAGAGAGUCCCACAAUUAUUAAAUGACAAAGCAAGAAUUCAAACAUAGAGCUCUCCCUUGAUAUUAAUAAGAACAAUAAUGUACUAACAGCAGUAGCAGCUACCUACAACGACUGCACUGUUUCUUCUCAAAACACUCCUCAAUGUCUUAAAUAUUUUAAAUUCAUUUGUUAGUCAUAACAAACAUAUGUAAUAAGUACUGUUAUCCUAUUUCACAGAUGGGAAAACUGGGUACAGGGAGGUUAAACAACUUAAGGUCACACAGCAAAUGAGGAAGUGGCUCUUGAACUUGGGCAGCCUAGUGCUAUCACACAUCCUUACCUACUUUCUUUCCUGUGCCACCUCUCUAAAGCCUGAAAUAAACCAAUGCAAUUCUAAAGUCAGUGGACUACAUUCUUAAUAUUUCUCCCAAAUAAGAGAAGAACUACCUAAUAAAAUAAGAAAGCAUUUUUCAUGGUAUAAUCUUUUUUCUGAAAUUCAAUCUCACUAAUGUGAAUUAGGAGGCCCUCCACUUUCCUAAGUAACUGAGAGGCAAGUGAUGAAUAAUUUUCUAAUCAAACAAGAAGCACUAUAAGAUCCUGAAUGUUCAAUGAGAAUACCUGCCCAAGAAACUUGAGAAACAAUCAUUAUUAAUUACAGAAUUAAAGAAACAAAAACUCGAUUACAAAGUUAAGCCUUCAAUUUCAUUGGCUUUCAGUAAGAGUAUCGAUUACAUCUAAAAUCAAAUAGGAAGCAAUCUGAAACUACUACUUAGAUCAUGUGUGAACAAAGGAGAAAACAGAAGCAAACCUUCAUCACUGAAUUAAAAGUCCAACAUAAAUAUGCAAGAUAUUAUGAUACAUAUAUUUCAACAGCUUUGUUUAAUGCUACAUAGACUGAAAAUUCAUAAUCUGCGAAAUUGAUCACAGAAUGUGAAUUUCUCAGUGUAGCACAGUAGACAAAAAGACCACCAGUAAUUUCACAGAGGGCUACCUGAAUGAAAACAAAUAAAAAGUUACCUUUUGGUAUGAUAUUUUUAAAUAUUAUUGCCUGGGCCAAGGCUUUGAUUCAUGUAAAACCACAAAAGAAAAUCCCACAUUAUAAGAUUUCAGAUUUUUUAGUUCAUAAAACAAGUAUAGAAUCCUACAAAACAAAAAUGGGUAAUAGCUAAACUAGACUCAAACAUACUGAUUAACUUGAGCUUUCCAGUCUAGUCAAAGAAAAGAACCACUUAUUAUUAGGACCAUGAUAUAGUAGCAAUAAAAUGUAAAAUAGAUCAAAAUACACACUUUAAAAAAAUUUCUUCCUAUCCCAAGCACCUACCUACUUCAGUAGAGGAGCAGAGUUGAAAAACAAUAAACAAAGUUCAAUCAAAGUAUAAUUUUACUAAUUCUGCCUCCAAAUUUUUGAAAGACUGCCAAGGAGACCUAAGCAAAAAGGGGACUUUUUUUUUUUUUUAAAUAAAAACGCACCUCAGAGCCAUGGAAAGUAGGAGGGCUAGAGCAAAAAACUGAAAUGGAAAGAAAACUUCAAAGAGAUUCUGUAAUCGAAGAUGCCUUAUUCUUGACUGCCUCAUCUCAGAGAUUAAAGAAGAUUUUUAAAGGUGUUCACGGACACAGAGAUCAAACAUUUACAAAUCUUCACAAUUUUACAAGUCCUAAAUUCAAAUGUGGGCUCAAAGAAACAAAAGUAACAUAGGCAGCUAGAAGGAAAGAUGAAUUUUCCUGGGUGAGGAGCAAUGUAGAAGGAAGCUUUGAAGAAUAUACUCUAGGGAUCACUGAAAAUAAAGAGGAUUUCUGAAUAGCCCAUUCAUCAACCAGAAUACCUAAAUGAACCACAAAAUGCUAUGAAAAGGGAACUAAGGCACAGCUUCAAUGUAUUUCUACUGGACUUUAACAAGUAUUAAAUUCAUCAAAUAUUCAUACAGUAUCUAUUCUGUAGCAGCCCAAGAUUAUCUUAUAAACAUAGUUAAUGCUUUUUUUUAAAUAAAAAUCUCAACAUAGCAGAUUUAUAAUUUUUUAAAGUUUGUGGACAAUUAAUGAAUUCUAAUUGUCUCAGCUUCCUAUAGAACUCCCAUCCCAUAAUGAGAAAAAGAGGAAGGAAGUGGGGAAGAAAAUCAGUUCCUAUCAUCAACAGCUUGGAAAACAACAACUGCUAGGAAUUACAGAGGUGCUCAUGGAAUCAAGGACAACAUUUCUCUUAGUAUAAUCUUUACACACCAACCUCUUAAUUAUUAAAUAAUUAAAUAUACCAUUUAAAAUGCAACAGAAGUAAAGCUGAACUUGAAGAACUUUUCACUACCUUAUUUUCAAUCAGUGGAUACUACAAUAUUAUUGUAUACCCUGAGAACUCUCACAGAAGUGGGAGCAUCUUAUAAACCUUAUUCAUCUUCAUAUCACCAGGGCCCAGCAUAGUGUCCACCACAUAAAACUCAUAUAUUCAUUUUUGUCACCUAAAUGUAACAACUAUUUAAAACAAGGUAAAACUAAAAUAGAAACUAGACCAUAUUGUAAUCUACUAAAAUCAAAUUUCUCUUUAUUCUCUGAGGCCUAAUUCAAACUUCAUCUUCUCUAUGUAGCUUCCCCAAGUCCAGCACUGAAGUCAUUACUAAUCUCCUUGUAACUAUAAGAAAUCUUCAUUCAUAUGCCAAUAAGGGUUUAUCACCAUAACUUACUAUUCAUUAAGUCACUAUUCAUUAACUAAAUAUUGACUGAGUGCCUAUUAUAGGUUGUCAACUGUUCUAGGCUCUGGGUGAUAAAACAGUUUCACUGCAUGAGGCACCUGCUCUCAGAGAACUUACAUUCAAGUGGGGAAGAAACAGAUCAUGAACAAAUAAAUACAUCAGGUGGUCAUCAUUAGGUCAUUACUCAAA